AUUAAUAUAGUUUAAAAAAAACGCUGUCUUUUCAAGACAAAAAUGAUUAAAUUAAUCUAUUGAUA
rnacentral:tRNA from 1 species